rnacentral:tRNA from 1 species
GGGGAUUUAGCUCAGCGGUAGAGCGCUUGCCUAGAAAUCACAAGGCCCUGGGUUCGGUCCCCAGCUCCG